GAUGUGAUAUCCUUUUUUUUUUUUCGGUGCUGUUUCUGAGAGCAUGAUAUCAAUCUGGUGCUGCCAUUUCUGCUUCUGAAUCACCAAAUGGAUGUGCAAUAACCUUAUCUUUCUGAGUAUCUUUCCUUUUGCAUGCUUUCAUGGCAUCUUUAAAUGUUGUAUAAUGCGAGAGAGAUUCUCUUCCAAUUGUAUGCCAUGUGGAAAAGUUAUUGAGACAUAAGUGGUUGGACCUGUUUUUCACGCAUCAAGCUAUCUAGUGUUUGGCCUUCUUUCCUGCAAAAUUUCCUCUGCAUUGUUGUGUUAUUCACCUGGUUGGACAUGUUGACUAAAUAUUCCCCAAUUGGUGUUGAGAUUAGGAGGUCAAAAAGUACUAUUUGAAAAAGCACUAUUUUAUAAUCAAUUACAAAAAGUAAUUUGAAAAAAAAAUGAUUAGUUGUUUUGGAGUUCCUAUGAUUAGAACAUGUCAAAUUUAACCUUGAACCAAUUUUUAAGACCUUCUAACUAUCAUAUUUAAGGAGAUCUUUUUCUCUGCAGUAGCUUUAGCAACUAUAUCAAAUAUACCCAUGAACUAGACUCAAUUUUCGUGUCUUAGGUUCUUUUUGUAAUGUUAUAUAUAUAUAUAAUAUGGGUUAAUUUUGAUUUUUUUUUUCAAUUUUUAUAUUUAAAAACUUAUCAUGUAAAAGAAUUUAGAUCUUUUUAAC
rnacentral:misc_RNA from 1 species